GGUGUGAAUUGCAGAAUCCCGUGAACCAUCGAGUCUUUGAACGCAAGUUGCGCCCGAAGCCAUUAGGCCAAGGGCACGUCUGCCUGGGCGUCACGC
rnacentral:rRNA from 1 species